rnacentral:rRNA from 1 species
AGUGAAUGCUGGCGGUAGGCCUAACACAUGCAAGUCGAACGGCAGCACAGUAAGAGCUUGCUCUUACGGGUGGCGAGUGGCGGACGGGUGAGGAAUACAUCGGAAUCUACUUUUUCGUGGGGGAUAACGUAGGGAAACUUACGCUAAUACCGCAUACGACCUACGGGUGAAAGCAGGGGAUCUUCGGACCUUGCGCGAUUGAAUGAGCCGAUGUCGGAUUAGCUAGUUGGCGGGGUAAAGGCCCACCAAGGCGACGAUCGGUAGCUGGUCUGAGAGGAUGAUCAGCCACACGGGAACUGAGACACGGUCCAGACUCCGACGGGAGGCAGCAGUGGGGAAUAUUGGACAAUGGGCGCAAGCCUGAUCCAGCCAUACCGCGUGGGUGAAGAAGGCCUUCGGGUUGUAAAGCCCUUUUGUUGGGAAAGAAAAGCAGCAGGUUAAUACCCCGCUGUUCUGACGGUACCCAAAGAAUAAGCACCGGCUAACUUCGUG